GGGAGCUGAGCUCCUCUGUCGUCUCUUUACCAUGAUUUGUCUCAAAUGUGGACUCUCUCCGGGAUUACCUCCUUGCAGCUGCAGUAUCCAGCUGUUGCUAUCAUUCUCUGCCCUCCUGCGUUUCUAAUUGUUGUACUAUUCCGAUCUAUUGUACCCAAGUCGCCUGAAAUCCGCAGUGGAUUUGAGAACUAAAGCCAGGACACAGAAUGAAGCCAUUCAAUCCAGGGAUGGAAGAUCAACCAUCCCACUCAUCUUGUCUGUUCUGAACAUCAUACUUUGGGAAGGAUGUCAAGACCCUGGUGAAGAUAGAAAGGAGAUUUCGUGGAAUGGAUAUCAGUGACAAAAGAAAUCAAAAUCCCAUGCUUGUGAUAGAGACUUGAGAUAGGUCAUCUGGGUGAGUGGUGUCCUAAUAACAGACUUGCACUCAAUGUCAGCAAGACCAAGGAACUGGUAGUGGACUCCAGGAAGCGGAAGUCAGGUGAACUAGUCCCAAUUGAGGUGUCUGCAGUGGAACAGUAACUAUAUUCAAGUUCCUCGGUGUCAACAUCUCAGAGGGACAAAUGCCUAGAUGCAGCCAAGAUGAAGGCACAACAGGAUCUCACCUUAAAAGUUUAUGGAGAUUUGGCAUGUCAUCGAAGAAACUCGACAAACUUCUGCAGAUGUAUAGUGGAAAGCAUUUUGACUGAUUGCUUGACAGCCUCAUAUGGAAACUCCAAUGCAUAGGAACACAAGAGGCUACAGAGAGUGGUAUGCUCCCUUCCCACUACUAUCAAUCAGGCACCUUAGAUCCCACAUCACCAGGUUCAGGAACAGUUAUUACCCUACAACCAUCAGGUUUCUGAAGCAGCAUGGAUAACUUCACUCACAUCAACACUGAACUGCAACCUAUAGACUCACUUUCAAGGAUUACAACUCAUAUCCUCAGUAUCUUUGUUUAUUGUUAUUUGCAUGAUUUCUCUUCUUUUGCAUAUUGGUUGUUCAUCAGUCUUUACUUGUGUGUGGGUUUUUGUGGAUUGUAUUGUAUUUCUUUAUUUUCCCAUAAAUGCCUGCAAGAAAUAUCAUAAUCUCAAGGUAGUAUACGGUGACAUAUACAUGCUCUGAUAAUAAAUUGACUUUGCUGAAUUCUUUCAACUCUCCCCAUACUUGACAUCUACAAGAGGCAAUGUCUCAGGAAGGGAACAUCUAUCAUCAGAGACCACCUGGGCCAUGCCCUCUUCUAGAUGCUGCCAUCAGGCACGGAGGGUACAGGUGUUUGAAGACCCACACCUCAAGGUUCAACAAAACCUUCUUCCCCACUGCCAUCAAGUUGUUGAACCAGCCUGAUAAUCCUUAACAUUAUGUUAGAAUUGUUUUUCUUGUCUCUCUCAAUCUUGUACUAGUGUUGUUAAACUUAUUUUGUAUUUUAUUUUGCAAAUUAUGUAUAACUUAUGUUAAUUUAAGUUUAUGUUAACUUAUGUUUGUCCUUAUCUUGUAAUGUACUGUUUUGGUGUUGCAAAAAGUUAAA